rnacentral:rRNA from 1 species
AGCGGCGAACGGGUGAGGAAUGCAUGGGUAACCUACCCUAGAGUGGGGAAUAACUAGCCGAAAGGUUAGCUAAUACCGCAUACGAUUCCCGGACUUCGGUUCGGGAGGGAAAGCGAUACCGUGGGUAUCGCGCUCUUGGAUGGGCUCAUGUCCUAUCAGCUUGUUGGUGAGGUAAUGGCUCACCAAGGCUUCGACGGGUAGCUGGUCUGAGAGGACGAUCAGCCACACUGGCACUGCGACACGGGCCAGACUCCUACGGGAGGCAGCAGUAAGGAAUAUUGCGCAAUGGACGAAAGUCUGACGCAGCGACGCCGCGUGGGGGAUGAAGGUCUUCGGAUUGUAAACCCCUUUCGGCAGGGAAGAUGGAACGGGUAACCGUUCGGACGGUACCUGCAGAAGCAGCCACGGCUAACUUCGUGCCAGCAGCCGCGGUAAUACGAAGGUGGCAAGCGUUGUUCGGAUUCACUGGGCGUACAGGGAGCGUAGGCGGUUGGGUAAGCCCUCCGUGAAAUCUCCGGGCCUAACCCGGAAAGUGCAGAGGGGACUGCUCGGCUAGAGGAUGGGAGAGGAGCGCGGAAUUCCCGGUGUAGCGGUGAAAUGCGUAGAGAUCGGGAGGAAGGCCGGUGGCGAAGGCGGCGCUCUGGAACAUUUCUGACGCUGAGGCUCGAAAGCGUGGGGAGCAAACAGGAUUAGAUACCCUGGUAGUCCACGCCUUAAACUAUGGAUACUAAG